GACGAACCGAGCGAACGUUAUUCGGAAUAACUGGGCUUAAAGGGUGCGUAGGCGGGCUGUCAAGUCUGGGGUGAAAUCCGGCAGCUUAACUGUCGAACUGCCUUAGAUACUGAUGGCCUCGAGGAAGGUAGGGGCAUGCGGAACUGUAGGUGGAGCGGUGAAAUGCGUAGAUAUCUGGAGGAACACCGGUGGCGAAGGCGGCAUCCUGGACCAAUAUUGACGCUGAGGAGCGAAAGCUAGGGGAGCAAACGGG
rnacentral:rRNA from 1 species